rnacentral:misc_RNA from 1 species
GGAAAACAUAUGGCCCAUUAUGAACUAUUAAGAUUCUUAUGAUAAGCAAUUUAACAUAAGAUAUAUAAGAUUUAACAAAGUACGCACCCGUACUACUGACUAAAUAUAAUUGCAUAAGACCCCACUUAUCAAUAUAUAUUUUUUAACCCUAACUCGGCAACUAGCAUUGGUUUCAGCAUCCUCUGAGGACACUACGAUGGACAAGAACACCAUCUUCAGAGGCUGCUGUGCUCAAAUGCUUUCAGAGAUGUAAUAAUACGAGUAUACAUAAAUUACUUAUUUUCAUGCUCAUCUGAGAGGCCCAUAGCUGGGAUUUACCUUUACUUGGCACAUGUCCGUCAUGUGAUCUUUCUUCAUUCUCUGUGUGCGUGGCACCCACCAUGAGGGGAGGAUUUAAACCCAUUUUAUAAGAAGGGCAAAAACCCAUCCCCAACAAAUGACUCCACAGUGUCCCUUCAUUUCAAAGCUUAAAA